rnacentral:rRNA from 1 species
GACGAACGCUGGCGGCGUGCCUAAUACAUGCAAGUUGAGCGCUGAAGGUUGGUACUUGUACCAACUGGAUGAGCAGCGAACGGGUGAGUAACGCGGGGGGAAUCUGCCUUUGAGCGGGGGACAACAUGUGGAAACGAAUGCUUAUACCGCAUAAAAACAUUAAACACAAGAUUUAAGUUUGAAAUAUGCUAUUGCAUCACUCAAAGAUGAUUCCGCGUUGUAUUAGCUAGUUGGUGAGGUAAAGGCUCACCAAGGCGAUGAUACAUAGCCGACCUGAGAGGGUGAUCGGCCACAUUGGGACUGAGACACGGCCCAGACUCCUACGGGAGGCAGCAGUAGGGAAUCUUCGGCAAUGGACGGAAGUCUGACCGAGCAACGCCGCGUGAGUGAAGAAGGUUUUCGGAUCGUAAAGCUCUGUUGGUAGAGAAGAACGUUGGUGAGAGUGGAAAGCUCAUCCAGUGACGGUAACUAACCAGAAAGGGACGGCUAACUACGUG